rnacentral:lncRNA from 1 species
CAGCAGGAUAGACACUGAGAGCUAGGGCUGCCUGUGGGAAGUGAGGAGCCCUGGCAAGGACAUGAGGAAACCUUCUGAGGUAGUGGGAAUGUGCGACAUCUUGUUUGUGGUGAUGGAUACAAAAGUUGACACAUUCAUCAAAGCUCGCCACAUCAUUCACUUGAUAUCUGCAUAUUUCACUCAAAAGACCAUGGACUGAUAUGCCCAGGCCCCUGCUGCUCCAGCAAGCAACUGCAAACAGCUCUAGAAAUGCUGUAACCCUGCUGUCCUGACUGGCCCCCAGUGAAUGAGCAGGAUGAGUUGGUGAUGGCUCCAAACUUUGCCAUUGAGUGUUCAGAUCUGCACUUUAGGGAGUUUGAAUAGACACAACAGCAUCUGUUGGCAGCAUCUCAAAGCACCUAUAAGACAGUUGGGGAAGAACAUCUGGAAGACAGUUAAGGAACAGCAAGUGAGAAGCAGAGAGAAGCGAAUAGGUGGAAGCCACAGUUGGCAGAAGCCCUAAGGAAGAAGUUCAUUUUCACCGUAUAUUACACCAUGAUGAAGGGAUUUUCAUUUCACAAAGGUUUGAAUAAUGACUAAGGUCUAAGCUCACAUAUCCCCAGGAUGAAGAAUUAAGUUUAAUCCAUAGAGUUGCCCAAACCUUGUGGAAUGUCAUUUCCUGCAUCCCCUUGUUCACAUCCUGGUGGUAGAUUUGUUUUACACAGUGUAACCUAAUACAGUAGGAGGCUGAAACUCAUCAGUAAUCUCUGCUUUUGUGUGGCAAGAAUGGUGCAGUAUGGAGGCACCAAAAAGUAUGGAGGCAGUGCUGGGGAUUCACCUUGGUCUUCAUUUUUAUCUUUCUUGGGAUUUUUUUCCAACCAUAGAAGUUACUUAGACUUAGCACUUGUGCAUAAAUAUCACCCUUAAGCACAGUUGCAAAGAAAGCUCAGUGGGGUGGCUUUAGAAUGAUCCCGUUUGGGAAGCUAAGUGUAAGCAGUGUUGAACAUUUAAGAAAUGAGGAUCAAAUGCAGGUGCCAGUAAACAGUUUGUGCACCUUAUUUGAGUCAAAAGAUCAAAUAAAAGUAUGAUGUUAACUUUUCUGGUUUAUUAUCCAACACUUUGUAGUCAGUUCAGAGAGCAUGCAUAUGUUCUAUACCAAUUUAGGAAUACAUUGUCACUAAAUGUAUGAAAGUAAGUAUCGAUUGUACUGAUACAAUUUUAUAUGGAAGCUCAAUUCUUCACAAAAUAUUUGCAUAUUAUCCAUCUAUAAAUAACCAAAUAUAUAAAG